AAAUCAACGUUACCAUUCAACACAUUUUGUUACUCUCUCGGCUGUCUGCUAAUAUAACCCGAAAAACAAGAGAGAGAGAGGGGGGGGGAGGGGGUGAAUCUAACGGAAGAAAAUAGCAAUUGGAUUUUGAUUCUCACAUACCAUUGAAUUGCAGCGAAAGCUCAAAACUUUGUUGCCGAAUUUGUGGAGUCUGCUGGUAAGCUUUUGUUUCUUUAAUUCUUUCAACCCCAGCACCAUGUUGGAAGCUUCAUCUUAUCCUGUCCCAAGAGAAUUACCAGCAUCAUGUGAGGAAGAGAACACGUGGAUUUAUAAUGCUUGCUGCGCUGUUGAGCUCUCGAACAAGCGGCCAUUAGAAGAUGGGGAAGAUGUUACCUCAAGAAAGGCAGCAAAGGUGCUGGAGGGCCAUGAGAGACAGGAAAAGAUGGAGGCUCUGCAUGUUCAUUCCAUUGUGCAUACUGAUCAACCAGAUAAUCAGUAUCAAGCUGAUUGUCUGCAUGCUCUUUCAAUUGCACAAACUAAUCAACUAGAAAACCACCAUCAAGUAGAAAAUCAAUCGGAUUCGAGUUCACUCAUUAACCAACUUGGUCGAGACUUAUCAAUAAGCUGUCUCCUCCACUGCUCAAGGUCUGAUUAUGGUGCCAUUGCUUUACUCAAUAAAAGCUUCCAUUCUCUAGUUCAGAGUGGUCAGCUGUAUAAGCUGAGGCGGGAAGCAGGAAUUGUCGAGCGAUGGGUAUAUUUCUCUUGCAAUCUCCUUGAAUGGGAGGCCUAUGAUCCUAUUCGUCGUCGAUGGUUGCAUUUGCCAAGAAUUAAAUCAAAUGAAUGUUUCAUGUGUUCAGACAAGGAAUCGCUGGCUGUUGGUACAGAUCUUCUAGUUUUUGGAAAGGGUAUAGAGUCCCAUGUUAUUUAUAGAUAUAGCAUUUUAACAAACACAUGGACAUCUGGCAUGAAGAUGAACACACCCAGGUGCUUGUUUGGAUCUUCCAGUCUGGGGGAAAUUGCGAUACUUGCUGGUGGUUGUGAUCCACGUGGCAAUGUUUUGAACUCAGCGGAGCUAUACAAUUCAGAAACUGGCAUGUGGGUUGCUAUUCCAAACAUGAAUAAAGCUAGGAAAAUGUGUUCUGGACUGUUUAUGGAUGGCAAGUUUUAUGUUAUUGGUGGAAUUGGAGCUGGCAGUUCAAAGAUGCUGACAUGUGGGGAGGCAUAUGAUUUGAAAACAAGAACGUGGCAUGAGAUACCUGAUAUGCUGCCUGCUCAAAAUGGAGGGGCUGUGAUCACAGAAACACCUGCUGCAGCUGGGGCACCUCCUUUAGUUGCAGUUGUGAAUAAUGAGCUCUAUGCAGCUGAUUAUGCACAAAAGGAGGUGAGGAAAUAUGACAAAAAAAACAAUGUGUGGAUUACACUUGGGAGGUUACCUGAACAAGCAGUUUCGAUGAAUGGUUGGGGCCUGGCAUUUAGGGCAUGUGGAGAUCGACUUAUUGUUAUAGGUGGACCUAGGGCUCUAGGUGGAGGGAUGAUUGAGCUGCACUCAUGGGCUCCAGGUGAUGGUCCUCCAAAGUGGGACCUGCUUGCUAGUAAGCCUUCGGGCAGCUUUGUGUACAAUUGUGCUGUGAUGGGAUGCUGACGUGCACACCUAUAUCACCAACAUUGAGUAAUAUAUGGAAGUGCAAAUUUUGCUGUGAUGAGAUGGGAUGCUGAUGUGCACAUUGGUCACCAACUACGUGUAGCGUAUCAAUCUGCGCUGUUGGAUCAUGGCUUUGUUGAGGAGAUGUGAAUCUGGACAUCUGGGGUGAUGUUGAAUAAUACCUUUCCUCUUCCAGCCAAGAUCUUGUGUUCUGGUGUGUUUAUUUCUCAAGUACAAAGCUCCAAAUGAACUUUAAUAUAUACACAUAUGCAUGCAUCCAUAUCGCAUCAGCCUCUGUAUAUAUUCACUGUUUUAGUGCUCCAGUUCAGUGCGUUUAUAAUUGACUGAACUGGUUAUACUCCAGCCUAUCUGAUUAAGUUGAUGGCAUGCACUGAAAUGUCAGUUUCCUUACUUUCUAUUUUUGCUGAAUCUUAUAAAGUGUGGUUGUUCUCUAAAUCAUAAACUAGACAGCUUUAAUAUUGAGCAAUAUUUGUGUUGAGCAUCAGUCUACCUGACUUGUUCUCCUCCUCAGCCGAGGUGCAGAGUUUCAUCUCUGGUCAUGCCUGGGGUGGCUCACGUUGUGCUAUCCCAAGGAGCCAUGCCCCUGUUAACACUGCAGAGGCCGUCAAACCCCAUCUUAUUACCCGCUUGAUUGAGCCGUUGGAUUGGACAGUUCUGUAGAAGCCGAUGAGCUCUCCGAGGAGUUUUGAGUUUGAAAUUCCCUAGAUGAUCAACAUAAGAAAAAAUUACCAACUGAUUUAAGCUUCAUAAUUACCAAGGUAUUGAUUCUUGAAUAACCCUGCUGACUCAAUUGACCAGAUAGGAGGAAUUCAUGUAUUAUGAUAAUGUAAAGUAUUUUUUAUUUUAAAAUAUAUUAAAAUAAUAUUUUUUUAAUAUCAAAA